CAGAAAACAGACAGGUGGGGCUUUAUGGUACUAUAAGGCACUGGACCCUACAAUGUUCAGAGAGUGCUUUGUACACCAAAAUGUCAGCCGGAACGGGUCAAGAACCCCUCAAAGUGCCUCAUAUAUGGAACUUAACAUCUAAGAGGUAAAUGGUUGUAAUAAACUGGGUUUGGAGACGUAGCGGAGUCAGGCGCAGGACACAGGUUUGAGCGAAACAGUCUAGUUUACUCAUAAACACAAGCAAAAUCUCCAACAGGAAACAACAGUGUGAGGAGAACACCUCCAACAACCACUGAUAACGAACAAUCACGGACAAAACAAAAAGGCCGGUGGUGGCUGGCCCGCUCCAGGAGUCUGAGGUGUGGGGAGUUUCUCCGCCCCCUUUGGACAUCGAGGGGGCCCCGGCGUACUCCAUUCGCUCCAUACUGCAUUCGAGGUGUCGGGCGAGGGGCCUUCAGUACCUCGUGGACUAUGAGGGGUUCGGUCCGGAGGAGAGAUGCUGGGUUCCGGUGGAGGACGUGUUGGACCCUUCAUUGCUGCGGGAGUUCCAUCGUCUCCGACCGGAUCGCCUUACACCUCGCCCUCUGGCCUUCUUUAGACUAGUUGAGUAUCAGCAUUUGUGGGUUCGAUUACAGGCUCAAAAUGGACUGAAACAAAGACCUUUCUUCUUAAACUCGUCAGUCUGUUCUUGUUCUGAGAAAUGAAGGCUAUUCCAUGUGAGAAAUUGCCAAGAAACUGAUGAUCUUGUGCAACGCUGUGUACUACUUCCUUCACAGAAUAGCGCAAACUGUCUCUAACCAGAAUAGAAAGAAGAGUGGGAGGCCCCGGUGCACAACUGAGCAAGAGGAUAAGUACAUUAGAGUGUGUAGUUUGAGAAACAGACGCCUCACAAGUUCUCAACUGACAGUUUCCAGCUGUGCUAACAUAAUUGCAAAACGGUUUUCUAAUGAUCAGUUAGCCUUUCAAAAUUAUAAACUUGGAUUAGCUAACACAACGUGCCAUUGGAACACAGGAGUGAUGGUUGCUGAUAAUGGGCCUCUGUACGCCCAUGUAGAUAUU
rnacentral:lncRNA from 1 species